rfam:Microgenomates (Daviesbacteria) bacterium GW2011_GWA2_40_9 TT29_C0020, whole genome shotgun sequence.
GAUCCGGUACCCAAGUAGUCCAAGGGGUCGGUCUGCAAAACCGAUAUUCGCGGGUGCGAAUCCCGCCCGGAUCU